rnacentral:lncRNA from 1 species
UGAUCUCCCAUUGCCUCACCUGCAACACCUGAUGAAAGCCUUCUUUCCUGGCAAUACUCAUCAUCUCAGUGAUUGGCUUUCUGUGUAGUGAGCAGCAGAACCUAGACUGGACCCCUGGUGUUUUGUAAGAAAGAAUGAGAUAAUACUGCGAUGAAUAUUUUGUGACGUAUUUCCAUAUCCACAUAUAUGACAGCUUCUCUAGGUUGUGUGUCUCAGAAGAGAAAUAAUGUAUCAUAGAUUUUGGAAGAAGCACGAAAAUGAUUUACUGAUUUAGGAACUGGGUGGAGUAGACCACAAAAAGACAAAUCAAAAACAUCUGGAAUGAACUAGUUGAGAGAGAAAAAGAGAGAGCAAGAAAAAAAGCAGGAGCCGGCAAGAGGGAGCCUCAGCCAACACUACAUCAGAGGCACAUUGUGGAUGGAGGAAAUGAGUUUAGUCAAGCCAGCUGUGACUUCAAAGGGGCUGCUCUCCCAGAGAACAGUGAGAAAGGGUUCCCCCUUCAGUGAAGACUGCAAAGUUCAGCCAGCGCCAACCCAAAGGGAAUGGACUCCAGGAAGGGGCAAAUUACAUUCAACAUACAAGAAAGAAUAUUUUCCUUCAUGAAGUGGCUGUGACAGUCUGAAGAGGAAGGAAAAUGACAAAAAAG